CUGCCCCCGCCCCAUCUCGUGACGCGCCGCCCCCACCUUCUAUUGCGGCCGCCAUGCCCACCUCCUGUCGCAGCUGCCGUCCUCACCUCCCGCCGCGGCCAUCACCCAGCAAGCUAACCAGCCGACCAACUGCGGAUAUCAAGCAUGACACCGGCCCGGAUCCCCCGCACACCAACGACCCCUUCCCAACGAGUUCCAGCGCCAACCAUCCCGGCGCUGCUCGUGAUCCCCUCCUCCAUCAGCUCCACUUCGCCACAGCCGCCAGUCCGAAGGAGUAAGGGGUAGCAUGUCCACUUCCUCUACUCACCGGCGCCCAAGAGACCGAUGUACUCUUCGAGCUUCUCUGCCAUCAGUGGCCGCUCCGCCCACCAGCCAGAGUGGAGAGUCCGAUCAUUUGCUGCUCAAAAUCCGACAACAAUCCAACAACAAUCGGAGGAGGAAUGCGCUACAAGCAAGUCCAUCAUCGAUGGCAAGGGAUUUCGGGAGAGUGGAGACCUGGAUGAGCACUUUUAGGCAUUAUUGGCCAUGACAAUAAAUGACAAGGAAGAACACUUUCAAUAGUCCAAGAAGACAACAACAACAACGAGAAAAAUGGAACGAUGCACCGUGCUGACAUUGGCGAAUAACUAUGAUUUUGUGCUCCUGUUUGUUGUUAUGUCAAUGAGAAACCAAUACUUCUCUUCUUCAGGUUUUGUGUUUUGAUCUGUGAGGGAUAAACAAAUUUUCCUAUUCAAGUGGAAGCUUCUAGUAUAUGAUGGAUGUGGGAUUUAUUCUUACAUGCACUGUUCAGUGCUUGUCUUUGUGUAAUGUUUUAUGUUUUCAAGUGCUCGAUGGAAAAUUAUAUACCUAGUAGUUCAUGUAUUA